rnacentral:rRNA from 1 species
UGUCCUACGGGAGGCUGCAGCUAAGAAUCUUCCGCAAUGGGGGAAACCCUGACGGAGCGACGCCGCGUGAACGAAGAAGGCAGAGAUGUUGUAAAGUUCUUUUCCUGUUGAAGAAUAAGGGUGAGAGGGAAUGCUCACCUGAUGACGUUAGACAGGGAAUAAGCCACGGCUAAUUACGUGCCAGCAGCCGCGGUAACACGUAAGUGGCAAGCGUUGUUCGGAUUCAUUGGGCGUAAAGGGCGUGUAGGCGGCGAAUCAAGGUUGGGGUGAUAUGUGCCGGCUCAACUGGAAAGGCGCGCUGAGAACUGAUUUGCUAGAGUUCAAGAGGGGGAGUUAGAAUUCCUAGUGUAGGGGUGAAAUCUGUAGAUAGUAGGAAGAAUACCGGUGGCGAAGGCGAGCUCCUGGCAAUGAACUGACGCUGAGGCGCGAAAGCGUGGGUAGCAAACAGGAUUAGUACCCCGGUAGUC